CCUUGACAUCCAGAGAACUUAGCAGAGAUGCUUUGGUGCCUUCGGGAACUCUGAGACAGGUGCUGCAUGGCUGUCGUCAGCUCGUGUUGUGAAAUGUUGGGUUAACGUCCGCAACGAGCGCAACCCUUAUCCUUUGUUGCCAGCGGCUCGGCCGGGAACUCAAAGGAGACUGCCGGUGAUAAACCGGAGGAAGGUGGGGAUGACGUCAAGUCAUCAUGGCCCUUACGGCCAGGGCUACACACGUGCUACAAUGGCGCAUACAAAGAGAAGCGACCUCGCGAGAGCAAGCGGACCUCAUAAAGUGCGUCGUAGUCCGGAUUGGAGUCUGCAACUCGACUCCAUGAAGUCGGAAUCGCUAGUAAUCGUAGAUCAGAAUGCUACGGUGAAUACGUUCCCGGGCCUUGUACACACCGCCCGUCACACCAUGGGAGUGGGUUGCAAAAGAAGUAGGUAGCUUAACCGUUCGGGGGGGCGCUUACCACUUUGUGAUUCAUGACUGGGGUGAAGUCGUAACAAGGUAAGCGUAGACGU
rnacentral:rRNA from 1 species